rnacentral:pre_miRNA from 1 species
CACCUACUCCCUCUGUUCGAAAUUACUUGUCUCGAAUAUGGAUGUAUCUAGAACUAAAAUACGUCUAGAUACAUCCAUUUUCGCGACAAGUAAUUCCGAACGGAGGGAGUACAAC